rnacentral:rRNA from 1 species
UACGGGGGGGGCAAGCGUUGUUCGGAAUUACUGGGCGUAAAGGGCUCGUAGGCGGCCAACUAAGUCAGACGUGAAAUCCCUCGGCUUAACCGGGGAACUGCAUCUGAUACUGGAUGGCUUGAGUUCGGGAGAGGGAUGCGGAAUUCCAGGUGUAGCGGUGAAAUGCGUAGAUAUCUGGAGGAAUACCGGUGGCGAAGGCGGCAUCCUGGACCGGCAUUGACGCUGAUGAGCGAAAGCUAGGGGAGCAAACGGG